rnacentral:lncRNA from 1 species
CUUUGAUCUGGACAAACCCAACUGCCUUUAUUGUUGCACAGCCUUCUGUGUCAUCAGUGGAGGAAGUGUUUCCCUGUACUCUAAACUCACCUUCUAUCAUGACCUGUUUGGGGUGUUUAGAUCAUUGCAGGUAAACACUGAGCUCGUUGCCUGAGCCAAAUAGCCCUGGUGCCAUAACAGCAACCUCACAACACCGUAGCAACAAACACCUAUUACACUUGUUACCUGUCAGGAGCUACUUUGUGCACUUCGAAUGGAUUAUUACCUUAUUGAAUCCCACAACAACCUUAGGAGGAGUCUUGUGCUACAGAUCGACGUUUGGCCCUGGGUCAGCGGCGCUCCCUUCAGACCAGUGGCGACUGCCUGAGAGACUUCUGGGCCAAGCAGGCGGUCAUAUAUUUCUUCCUUAAUCCUGUGUGCGUGGGCGAAGCAUCAGGCAAAGGUAUAAAUAAAAUGUUCUGAC